rnacentral:rRNA from 1 species
CAGCCGCCGCGGUAAUACGUAGGUGGCAAGCGUUGUCCGGAAUUAUUGGGCGUAAAGGGCUCGCAAGCGGUUUCUUAAGUCUGAUGUGAAAGCCCCCGGCUCAACCGGGGAGGGUCAUUGGAAACUGGGAAACUUGAGUGCAGAAGAGGAGAGUGGAAUUCCACGUGUAGCGGUGAAAUGCGUAGAGAUGUGGAGGAACACCAGUGGCGAAGGCGACUCUCUGGUCUGUAACUGACGCUGAGGAGCGAAAGCGUGGGGAGCGAACAGGAUUAGAUACCCCUGUAGUCCCUGUCUCUUAUAC